rnacentral:rRNA from 1 species
CUAGUACGAGAGGACCGGGACGGACGAACCUCUGGUGUGCCAGUUGUCCUGCCAAGGGCAUGGCUGGUUGGCUACGUUCGGAAAGGAUAACCGCUGAAAGCAUCUAAGCGGGAAGCCUGCUUCGAGAUGAGGACUCCCACCCCCUUUGAGGGGUUAAGGCUCCCAGUAGACGACUGGGUUGAUAGGCCAGAUCUGGAAGCCCGGUAACGGGUGGAGGUGACUGGUACUAAUAGGCCGAGGGCUUGUCCUCAGUUG